UUUCCGUUGGUGAACCAGCGGAAGGAUCAUUACUGGGAUCAUGCCCUUAACGGGGUAGACCUCCCACCCUGUGUUAUUACGAUUGUUGCUUUGGCAGGCCGCCCUCGGGCGCUCGGCUUCGGCUGAGGCGUGCCUGCCAGAAGACCCAAACCCUGUAUUUAGUGUUGUCCGAGUACUAUUUUAAUACGUUAAAACUUUCAACAACGGAUCUCUUGGUUCUG
rnacentral:misc_RNA from 1 species